AGAGGGGAAGGAGGAGAAUGAAAGAGAGGAAGAGGAGGAAGGAGGUGAAGAAGAGGAGAGUUAGUUGGAAAGAGGAGAUCAAAAAGACGAUAAAAGUAAAAAGAGAAAUCAGACCCAGUGGAGGAGAGAUGGAGGAAGAGGAGGAGAGAUGGAGGAAGAGGAGGAGAGAUGGAGGAGAGAUGGAGGGAGAGUUGGAGGAAGAGGAGGAGAGCUGGAGGAAGAGGAGGAAGGACUGAUAAAUAAGAGGGAAAAGAGGGAGCGAAAAUAGACCCAGUGGAGGUCUGGAUGAACAGAGAUGGAGGAAGAGGAGCAAUAUAGACCCAGUGGAGGUCUGGAUGAACAGAGAUGGAGGAAGAGGAGGACUAUAGACCCAGUGGAGGUCUGGAUGAACAGAGAUGGAGGAAGAGGAGGACUAUAGACCCAGUGGAGGUCUGGAUGAACAGAGAUGGAGGAAGAGGAGCAAUAUAGACCCAGUGGAGGUCUGGAUGAACAGAGAUGGAGGAAGAGGAGGACUAUAGACCCAGUGGAGGUCUGGAUGAACAGAGAUGGAGGAAGAGGAGGACUAUAGACCCAGUGGAGGUCUGGAUGAACAGAGAUGGAGGAAGAGGAGCAAUAUAGACCCAGUGGAGGUCUGGAUGAACAGAGAUGGAGGAAGAGGAGCAAUAUAGACCCAGUGGAGGUCUGGAUGAACAGAGAUGGAGGAAGAGGAGCAAUAUAGACCCAGUGGAGGUCUGGAUGAACAGAGAUGGAGGAAGAGGAGGACUAUAGACCCAGUGGAGGUCUGUAUGAACAGAGAUGGAGGAAGAGGAGCAAUAUAGACCCAGUGGAGGUCUGGAUGAACAGAGAUGGAGGACGAGGAGCAAUAUAGACCCAGUGGAGGUCUGGAUGAACAGAGAUGGAGGAAGAGAAGGACUAUAAAGGGCUCAUAACGACAGCACCUCCACUUCCACCUCCAGUUCUCUGUGUUUACAGGGUAAGCUAAGAGCACUACCCCCUGGGCCAUUAAGACCUGGACCCCUUGGCAGAGGCUGUAGCUGCUACAGAACAGGGUGGUUACAGAACAGGGUGGUUACAGAACAGGGUGGUUACAGAACAGGGUGGUUACAGAACAGCAGUACUGUACUACAGAACAGGGUGGUUACAGAACAGGGUGGUUACAGAACAGGGUGGUUACAGAACAGCAGUAAUGUACUACAGAACAGGGUGGUUACAGAACAGGGUGGUUACAGAACAGGGUGGUUACAGAACAGGGUGGUUACUGUACUACAGAACAGGGUGGUUACAGAACAGGGUGGUUACAGAACAGGGUGGUUACAGAACAGCAGUACUGUACUACAGAACAGGGCACCAGGCUGAACUGUGGGACAACCAGAGGAAGUGUUGCAGGUGUGAGGUAGUAAACACUAGCCCACCGUGGAACAAAGUGAUGUCACACCUGAGGUCACCUGCCUGACAUCAUAUUACCUAUUCACUGCACAAAGGGCUCUGGUCAAAAGUAGUGCACCAUAUAGGGAAUAGGGUGCCACUUGGAAUGCAGUCAUUCAGUCUUCAUGACCUAUAGCCUAUUGUACCACUGCCACCAGGGGAACCUAUAUUUUAACAGCUCUUUUGUAGCACUACAGACUAUUAAGACUGUAACACACAGAGAGACAGUCACAUGCAAAAAAAACAAAAAUAAACGAUGCUCCUUCUGACCCCGCUGGCCUAUUAAACACAGAGGGGUGAAGCGUUUCCCCCCACUAAUGGUUACGGUCAGGAUCGGGGGAGGGGAAUCUGAUCCUAGAUCUGUACCCAGUGGAAACCGGAGCAACAACACACUGGAACACUUUCAAUACUUUAUUUGGGAUCCACAGUCGAGCGUCAAGAAAGAAAAUAACCUAAUACAGAGGUCAAAGGUCACAUUGGUUCCUGCCGUCAUUGAGAUGUAAAGAGAAUGCAACGUUGUAUCUGUCCCGUAAUGACGUCUGUGAGCGCACAGGCACCACCAUGGUGGCCAUCUCCAUUUUUAAGAAGUAAAUUUUCUUCCUUUACUACUUCUAUGAGUUGGUAAACAAAUUGAAAGGGUGCGUACUGCCACCUGGAGUGUGUUUGAACAGAUAUAAAAGCCAAGGUUGGCAAUUUACUGUCACCUGCAGUUAUGGAAUGUUUGCUCACAAGUAUAAUUCAUUGGCUGAUUCCUCCUGCUGACCUGGAUGGAAUUAUGCGAUCCUUCCUGAACCCACAGGAAGUCACACCCAGUGGACUACUUAAAAAUGGUGGAAGUCCUCAACGUUACUGCCCAUGGUAAAACAGGCUUUCGGGCACUGAAAUAGAUAAGAUAGUCCUCUAUCUAUCUCUAUGGGAUUUAUAGGCUGUCCCCCAAAUGGCCCCUGGUCAAUAGAAGUGCACUACAUAGGGAAUGGGGUGCCAUUUGGGAGUCUGACAUGGACAUACAGGUGUUGGUGAAUGUGUACUUCAUAUCUAGGAGACAUUUGGAACCCAAUACUCUUCUGGAGCUGCGUUCAACUGGACUUGUUUUCUUCCAUUUCUGUCGGAAUAGAAAAAAGAAAUGCAAAAAGAGAUAAACUCUCUGUACCCUGAGGUCACAGCCCGUCCUUUACCCCGAGGUCACAGCCCGUCCUUUACCCCGAGGUCACAGCCCGUCCUUUACCCCGAGGUCACAGCCCGUCCUUUACCCCGAGGUCACAGCCCGUCCUUUACCCCGAGGUCACAGCCCGUCCUUUACCCUGAGGUCACAGCCCGUCCUUUACCCUGAGGUCACAGCCCGUCCUUUACCCUGAGGUCACAGCCCGUCCUUUACCCUGAGGUCACAGCCCGUCCUUUACCCUGAGGUCACAGCCCGUCCUUUACCCUGAGGUCACAGCCCGUCCUUUACCCUGAGGUCACAGCCCGUCCUUUACCCUGAGGUCACAGCCCGUCCUUUACCCUGAGGUCACAGCCCGUCCUUUACCCUGAGGUCACAGCCCGUCCUUUACCCUGAGGUCACAGCCCGUCCUUUACCCUGAGGUCACAGCCCGUCCUUUACCCCGAGGUCACAGCCCGUCCUUUACCCCGAGGUCACAGCCCGUCCUUUACCCCGAGGUCACAGCCCGUCCUUUACCCCGAGGUCACAGCCCGUCCUUUACCCCGAGGUCACAGCCCGUCCUUUACCCUGGGCUCAAGUUGGAAGUUGCCCCUAGACACUGAUCAAAGAUUAGUUUAACGUUGGCCGCUUUCCUCUAAAGCAAUGCACUGUGGGGCCAGGGUUGGGGUUUGGUGGGGGAGAUAGUGAUUGUAUCCCAAGUGGCAUCCGAUUUCCUACACAUGGUCAAAAGUAGUGCGCUACAUAGUAUAGGGAAUAGGGUGCCAUUUGGGACGCUACCAGGGUCUUCCACCACCUCUGGUGUUGUUUUGUAAAUCUGUGUUUGGCACUUUAUCAGACGGACUACCCUGCUGCAUAUCUGUAUAAUAUAUUUAACAAUAAAUAUGAUUGAUCCAUGAAA